GUGUGUCUUCCGAUAUGUCCAACAUAAAAUUUUCGUCUAGUUUUUUCAAAAACUAGCGUUGAAUUUUUGGACACAAAAGUCAAGUUUUCUGGGGGCAGAAUAGUGACAGAGUUAUUUUGCAAGCCCAUGUCAU